rnacentral:rRNA from 1 species
UAGAAGUUUGAAUCCCUGGGCUCACGAACAAACCGCCUGGGCCGGCAGGACUUAACCAACAUUGACAAGUCCGAACCGACUGUAGCCAAUACCAGAAGUGGCCAAGACCGGGUGAGUAACCACCGUGGGAAACCAUACCCCUUCGGUUCGGAAUAACUCAGGGAAACUUGUGCUAAUACCGAAUACGUCCCCGCGAGGAGAAAGAUUUAUUCGCCGAAGGGAUUGGGCCCGCGUUCUGAUUAGCCUAGUUUUGGUGAGGNAACGGCUCACCAAGGACGACGAUCAGUAGACUGGUCUGAGAGGAUGAUCAGCCACAUUGGGACUGAGACACGGCCCAAACUCCUACGGGAGGCAGCAGUGGGGAAUAUUGGACAAUGGGCGAAAGCCUGAUCCAGCCAUGCCGCGUGAGUGAUGACGGCCUUAGGGUUGUAAAGCUCUUUUGCCUGGGAAGAUAAAUGACGGUACCAGGAGAAUAAGCCCCGGCUAACUUCGUGCCAGCAGCCGCGGUAAUACGAAGGGGGCUAGCGUUGUUCGGAUUUACUGGGCGUAAAGCGCACGUAGGCGGAUUCUUAAGUCAGGGGUGAAAUCCCGAGGCUCAACCUCGGAACUGCCCUUGAU